UGGAGAUGUACCCAAGAGGUCGAAGGGACCGCACUCGAAAUGCGGCAGGUCGGUUUCCCCGGCGCGUGGGUUCGACUCCCACCAUCUCCGU
rnacentral:tRNA from 2 species